rnacentral:tRNA from 1 species
ACCUGGGUGGCUCAGUUGAUUGAGCAACUGACUUCAACUCAGGUCAUGAUCUUGUGAUCUGUGAGUUCAAGCCCCACGUCAGGCU